UUGGAGGGCAAGUCUGGUGCCAGCAGCCGCGGUAAUUCCAGCUCCAAUAGCGUAUAUUAAAGUUGUUGCAGUUAAAAAGCUCGUAGUUGAAUUUCGGGAUCAAUAUACCGGUCGUGCCUCAGGUAUGAACUGGUCUUAUUGGUUUCUCCCUUCUGACGAACCAUGAUGUCAUUAAUUUGAUGUCGUGGAGAAUCAGGACUGUUACUUUGAAAAAAUUAGAGUGUUUAAAGCAGGCUAACGCUUGAAUACAUUAGCAUGGAAUAAUGAAAUAGGACGUUCGAUCCUAUUUUGUUGGUUUCUAGGAUCGACGUAAUGAUUAAUAGGGAUAGUUGGGGGCAUUAGUAUUCAAUUGUCAGAGGUGAAAUUCUUGGAUUUAUUGAAGACUAACUACUGCGAAAGAGAUUUGCCAAGGAUGUUUUCAUUAAUCAAGAACGAAAGUUAGGGGAUCGAAGACGAUCAGAUACCGUCGUAGUCUUAACCAUAAACUAUGCCGACUAGGGAUCGGAUGAUGUUAAUUUUAUAAUGACUCAUCGGCGCCUACGGAAAC
rnacentral:rRNA from 1 species